AUUGAACGCUGGCGGCAGGCCUAACACAUGCAAGUCGAGCGAGCGGCGGACGGGUGAGUAAUGUCUGGGAAACUGCCUGAUGGAGGGGGAUAACUACUGGAAACGGUAGCUAAUACCGCAUACCAUACGAUGUGCCCAGAGGGGAUUAGCUAGUUGGUGGGGUAAAGGCUCACCAAGGCGACGAUCCCUAGCUGGUCUGAGAGGAUGACCAGCCAAACUGGAACUGAGAAACGGUCCAGACUCCUACGGGGGGCAGCAGUGGGGAAUAUUUCACAAUGGGCGCAAGCCUGAUGCAGCCAUGCCGCGUGUAUGAAGAAGGCUUUCGGGUUGUAAAGGACUUUCAGCGGGGAGGCGUUACCCGCAGAAGAAGCACCGGCUAACUCCGUGCCAGCAGCCGCGGUAAUUC
rnacentral:rRNA from 1 species